UUUAAAUAUUAACUGACAUUAUAAUUAUUGUAUGUGAUUUGUAUGAAAAGAAGUUUUGUGAAAGUUUAUUAUUUCAUUCAUUUUUUUAUCAACAAUUAGUUAGUUUUAUCUAUAAUAUGAAGCUAUAACUUCUGCCUUUGAUAAUUCCUUCCUUUGAAUGAACAUCUACUUGAACAAAACUUCACUAAAAAUAGCAUACCAGUUGGGUAGUGAAACACUUUAAAAGAAAGCGCUAAAAUAUAACACAAAAUAAGAUACUUGUGAUCACACGAACGAGCAAAAUACAAGUGUCAUAACCUAAACAAUUAACAUAAAUUGUAUGUUAAAUAUAUUGAAAAAAAAUCAUAAAAUAUUAUAAAAUUUUCUGGUAGUUUUAGAAAAACGCUAUGCAAUAAUUGCAAACACCUAAAUUUAUCAAUAGAUACUUUCACAACCUCAGUUCAUACGAUGGUCAUUUUUUAAUUAAAGCAACAGAAGAAAAAUAUAUUUCUUUUACAAAGUUUGUCUCAAACAAAUUUAUGGUUCGAUUUAUUGACACAUUCCGUUUUAUGAGGACUAGUUUGGCGGCUCUUGCUGAAAAUUUACAUACCACAGACAUAAAUUUAUUUAAAAAAACAGUUAAGGCAUUUUCAACUGACAAUCUCGUCCUAGUGAUGUGAAAAGGUGUGUAUCCUUAUUCAUAUACAUUCUGAUGGGAGGAGUUAAGUGAACAAAAAUUUCUAUCAAAAGCCGAGUUUUAUGAUGAUUUAAUUGAAACUCAUAUAGACAAUGCUGAAUAUGAACACGUUUAGCGACAUUUCAAGUGUCAAACGCUCAGUUUGCACUAUGAUCUGUAUCUGAAAACUGAUGCGUUUAUACUAGCUAAUAAUUUUACUAAUUUUGACGGUUAUGUCUAAACAAACAUUAAUUGGAACCUGCAUACUAUUUUAAAAAUUCUUUCUUUCGAUGCUAUGGUGCUGCAUACAGGGGUGUUGCUAGAUCUCAUGAGUAAUUAUAAAUAACAGCUUUUUAUUGAGAGAAAUAUGAAGAGUGAUGACGACUUCAGUUCUUAAGCAUGCUGUUUCAAACAGAAUAGUCCUCAAUAUGAUGCAAGUCAAUCUAAAUCGGAAAUAAUAUAUUUAGAUGUCAACAACUUGUAUGGCUGAAGACUUUUAGUGGUUAUAUGUGAACGAUGAAGCGAAAAUUUUAAAUACAGUAGAAUUGUUACCUGUGAAUCUUCCUAUAGGGCUUGAAGUAACGCUGUUGUACCUGAAAAAAAUUCACAAUGCCCAAAGAGAAAUUUAAACUAAAACAUUCACCAAAUUCAUUAGUCAAAAAAUGACUGUUUACUUUUGACCAUAAUGAAAACUAUGUUGUACAUUACCUCAAUUUAAAACAAGCUAUGGCAAACGGUUUAAAAUUAGAAAAGGUACAUUAGAUGUUACAAUUUAAACAGUGUGGUUGGCAAAUUAUAUUCAAUUGAAUACAAAGAUGAGACAGAAAGUUAAAAAUGAUUUAAGAAAGAUUAUUUCAACUUAAUGAAUAGUACGGUUUUUAGUAUAUAAACAUGUAAAAUACGUAAACAUAAUUUCAAUAUGAUCAUAUUGCACAUCGCUAAAUUAAGUAAAGUAAACUAAAGUAAAGUAAUUUACAGAGAAAUUAGAAUAGGUACUAUACAUACACUUUUACUGGUUAACAAAAAUAUCUAACCAAUCUAGAGUAAAAUUUGAAAAUUAUUUUUGAUAUGCUUAAUAUUAAGACAUUAAGAUGUUCCAUUUUAAUCAUUUCCAUUGUUUUUCUAUACAGUGACAAUAAUGUACAAAUAUUUUGGAAAUAAUAGGAUUUGAAAAUUUAAAUAACCCUAAUUUGAACAAA